UACGUAGGAGGCAAGCGUUGUCCGGAAUUACUGGGCGUAAAGGGCGUGUAGGUGGUGGGACAAGUCUGCUGUGAAAGCGCCUGGCUUAACCGGGCGAGGUCGGCGGAAACUGUCCGACUAGAGGACGGUAGAGGGGGGUGGAAUCCCCGGUGUAGUGGUGAAAUGCGUAGAGAUCGGGAGGAACACCUGUGGCGAAGGCGGCUCACUGGCUCGUAACUGACGCUCAUGCACGACAGCGUGGGGAUCAAACAGG
rnacentral:rRNA from 1 species